UACAGAGGUCUCAAGCGUUGUUCGGAUUCAUUGGGCGUAAAGGGUGCGUAGGUGGCGAGGUAAGUCAGGUGUGAAAUUUCGGAGCUUAACUCCGAAACUGCAUUUGAUACUGCCUUGCUUGAGGACUGGAGAGGAGACUGGAAUUCACGGUGUAGCAGUGAAAUGCGUAGAUAUCGUGAGGAAGGCCAGUGGCGAAGGCGGGUCUCUGGACAGUUCCUGACACUGAGGCACGAAGGCCAGGGGAGCAAACGGG
rnacentral:rRNA from 1 species